GGCAUGUUGUAAAUGGACAUUGAGUGGCUAUGGGGAUAGAAAGAGGGCAGAUACAAAUCCUUCAGCAUUGGCUCCAACCAAAUGAGGUCGGUCUAACCUUUCUGCUGCUCUACCUCUUUUAUGUGUAAUUAGAUUAUCCUGCAAAUUAACAGU